rnacentral:rRNA from 1 species
AGUAACGGCGAGUGAACUGGAAAUAGCCCAGAUUGGUAAUCGGGGCACUAUGUGCCUUGAAUUGUAAUCUGAAGAGGCAUCCUCUGUGGCAGACCGGGCCUAGGUUCCUUGGAAAAGGACGCCGGAGAGGGUGAGAGCCCCGUUCGGCUUGGACCCUGCUACAUCACGAGGUGCCAUCAAAGAGUCGGGUUGUUUGGGAAUGCAGCCUCAAUCGGGUGGUAAAUCCCAUCCAAGGCUAAAUAUUGACAAGAGACCGAUAGUGAACAAGUACCGCGAGGGAAAGAUGAAAAGGACUUUGAAAAGAGAGUCAAAAAGUGCUUGAAAUUGCUGGGAGGGAAGCGAAUGGAUGCCUUUGGUUGUGUUGCUUGAUGGUGGAACGGUGUGAACUGGUUCACUGAAUCAAGCAGCACAAGAGCUAGUGUGGGUGAAAGCAGCAGGAUAAAGGCCAAGCUUUAUGCUUGACUUAUGCUGCUGUUUUUUCCUGGUUCCAUGGCAAAGGCGCUGCUUGCAGCGGUCCUUCGGGACCUGCGUUUGUCGGAUGCUGGCUUUUGAGGGCUUUCCAUUUGACCCGUCUUGAAACACGGACCAAGGAGUCUAACAUGUAUGCAAGUUGGUGGGUUGAAAACCCAAUGAGGCGGAAGGAAACUGAAUCAUGGGAUCCCUUCGGGGUGCACCAUGGACCAACCAUGAUCUUUUGUGAAAGGUUUGAGUGGUAGCAUAUUUGUUGGGACCCGAAAGAUGGUGAACUAUGCCUGAGCAGGGCGAAGCCAGAGGAAACUCUGGUGGAGGCUCGUAACGAUACUGACGUGCAAAUCGUUCGUAUGACUUGGGUAUAGGGGCGAAAGACUAAUCGAACCUUCUAGUAGCUGGUUCCCUCCGAAGUUUCCCUCAGGAUAGCUGGAGCUCUUGUGAGUUUUAUCAGGUAAAGCGAAUGAUUAGAGGCCUCGGGGGUGAAACACCCUCGACCUAUUCUCAAACUUUAAAUGGGUAAAGCGCCUGGGUUGCUCCAAUGAACCCAGGUUGUGAAUGCGAGCUCUAAGUGGGCCAUUUUUGGUAAGCAGAACUGGCGAUGCGGGAUGAACCGAAAGCUGGGCUAAGGCGCCU